CCUACGGGUGGCAGCAGUGGGGAAUAUUGCACAAUGGGGGAAACCCUGAUGCAGCGACGCCGCGUGAAUGAGGAAGUAUUUCGGUAUGUAAAGCUCUAUCAGCAGGGAAGAAAAUGACGGUACCUGACUAAGAAGCCCCGGCUAACUACGUGCCAGCAGCCGCGGUAAUACGUAGGGGGCAAGCGUUAUCCGGAUUUACUGGGUGUAAAGGGAGCGUAGACGGUUAAUCAAGUCAGAAGUGAAAAGCCAGGGCUCAACCCUAGAACUGCAUUUGAAACUGUUAUUCUAGAGUAUGGGAGAGGUAAGUGGAAUUCUUGGUGUAGCGGUGAAAUGCGUAGAUAUCAGGAGGAACACUCGUGGCGAAGGCGACCUGCUGGAACGUAACUGACGCUGAUGCGCGAAAGCGUGGGGAGCAAACAGGAUUAGAUACCCCAGUAGUC
rnacentral:rRNA from 1 species